AGAGGGAAGAGCUCAAAUUUAAAAUCUGGCAGUGUUUUGCUGUCCGAGUUGUAAUCUAGAGAAGUGCUGCCCGUGCUGGACCAUGUACAAGUCUCCUGGAAUGGAGCGUCACAGAGGGUGAGAAUCCCGUCUUUGACAUGGACUACCAGUGCAUUUGUGGUGUGCUCUCAAAGAGUCGAGUUGUUUGGGAAUGCAGCUCUAAAUGGGUGGUAAACUCCAUCUAAAGCUAAAUAUUGGCGAGAGACCGAUAGCGAACAAGUACCGUGAGGGAAAGAUGAAAAGAACUUUGGAAAGAGAGUUAAACAGUAUGUGAAAUUGUUGAAAGGGAAACGCUUAAAGUCAGUCGUGUCGGCCAGGGAUCAACUCAGCUUUCUCUGCUGGGUGUACUUCCUGAUCUGAUGGGCCAACAUCAGUUUUGACUGCUGGAGAAGGACAGAGGGAAUGUGGCACCUUUGGGUGUGUUAUAGCUCUCUGUCANAUGCAGUGGUUGGGACUGAGGA
rnacentral:rRNA from 1 species